rnacentral:rRNA from 1 species
GAUGAACGCUGGCGGCGUGCCUAAUACAUGCAAGUCGAGCGAACAGACGAGGAGCUUGCUCCUCUGACGUUAGCGGCGGACGGGUGAGUAACACGUGGAUAACCUACCUAUAAGACUGGGAUAACUUCGGGAAACCGGAUCUAAUACCGGAUAAUAUAUUGAACCGCAUGGUUCAAUAGUGAAAUACGGUUUUGCUGUCACUUAUAGAUGGAUCCGCGCCGCAUUAGCUAGUUGGUAAGGUAACGGCUUAGCAAGGCAACGAUGCGUAGCCGACCUGAGAGGGUGAUCGGCCACACUGGAACGGAGACACGGUCCAGACUCCUACGGGAGGCAGCAGUAGGGAAUCUUCCGCAAUGGGCGAAAGCUUGACGGAGCAACGCCGCGUGAGUGAUGAAGGUCUUCGGAGCGUAAAACUCUGUUAUUAGGGAAGAACAAAUGUGUAAGUAACUAUGCACGUCUUGACGGUACCUAAUCAGAAAGCCACGGCUAACUACGUG